rnacentral:rRNA from 1 species
GACGAACGCUGGCGGCGUGCUUAACACAUGCGAGUCGAACGGAAAGGCCCUGCUUUUGUGGGGUGCUCGAGUGGCGAACGGGUGAGUAACACGUGAGUAACCUGCCCUUGACUUUGGGAUAACUUCAGGAAACUGGGGCUAAUACCGGAUAGGAGCUCCUGCUGCAUGGUGGGGGUUGGAAAGUUUCGGCGGUUGGGGAUGGACUCGCGGCUUAUCAGCUUGUUGGUGGGGUAGUGGCUUACCAAGGCUUUGACGGGUAGCCGGCCUGAGAGGGUGACCGGCCACAUUGGGACUGAGAUACGGCCCAGACUCCUACGGGAGGCAGCAGUGGGGAAUAUUGCACAAUGGGCGGAAGCCUGAUGCGGCAACGCCGGGUGCGGGAUGACGGCCUUCGGGUUGUAAACCGCUUUCGCCUGUGACGAAGCGUGAGUGACGGUAAUGGGUAAAGAAGCACCGGCUAACUACGUG